rnacentral:rRNA from 1 species
UACGGAGGGGGCUAGCGUUGUUCGGAAUUACUGGGCGUAAAGCGUGCGCAGGCGGUCUGUUAAGACCGAUGUGAAAUCCCCGGGCUUAACCUGGGAACUGCAUUGGUGACUGGCAGGCUUUGAGUGCGGCAGAGGGAGGUAGAAUUCCACGUGUAGCAGUGAAAUGCGUAGAGAUGUGGAGGAAUACCGAUGGCGAAGGCAGCCUCCUGGGCCAACACUGACGCUCAUGCACGAAAGCGUGGGGAGCAAACAGG